UACGGGGGGGGCAAGCGUUGUUCGGAAUUACUGGGCGUAAAGGGUGCGCAGGCGGUCUCGUAAGCUGGGUGUGAAAGCCCCGGGCUUAACCUGGGAAUGGCAUUCAGGACUGCGAGGCUUUGAGUGCGGCAGAGGGAGGUGGAAUUCCACGUGUAGCAGUGAAAUGCGUAGAGAUGUGGAGGAACACCGAUGGCGAAGGCAGCCUCCUGGGCCAGCACUGACGCUCAUGCACGAAAGCAUGGGGAUCAAACAGG
rnacentral:rRNA from 1 species